GCAUAGCUCAGUUAGUUAGAACAUGGUGCUGAUACCACCAAAGUCACAGGUUUAAUCCCUAUAUAGGACAGCUGCA